rnacentral:rRNA from 1 species
CAUAUCAAUAAGCGGAGGAAAAGAAACUAACAAGGAUUCCCCUAGUAACGGCGAGUGAAGAGGGAAAAGCCCAAAUUUGUAAUCUGGCUCUUUUUAUAAGGGUCCGAGUUGUAAUUUUGAGAACUGUUUUCUGUGCUGGACCAUGUACAAGUCUGUUGAAAAACAGCAUCAUUGAGGGUGAAAAUCCCGUACAUGAUAUGGACUACCAGGGCAAUAUGAUACAGUCUCUAAGAGUCGAGUUGUUUGGGAAUGCAGCUCAAAGUGGGUGGUAAAUUCCAUCUAAGGCUAAAUAUAGGUGAGAGACCGAUAGCAAACAAGUACCGUGAGGGAAAGAUGAAAAGAACUUUGGAAAGAGAGUUAACAGUACGUGAAAUUGCUAAAAGGGAAACAGUUAAAGUUAGACUUGUUAUUGUUGGAUCAGCUUCUUUAUUGAGGUGUACUCUGAUGAUUAACAGACCAGCAUCAAUUUUUGAGUGUUGGAUAAGGGUUUUGGGAAUGUGGCAGCUUUGGUUGUGUUAUAGACCAUUACUUUGAUACAAUGCUUAGGAUUGAGGAACGCAGUAAGCUUUGUUGCAGAUUUUUUCGGAAAUCUCCUUGC